rnacentral:rRNA from 1 species
UGCGUAACGCGUGGGAAUCUGCCCUUGGGUUCGGAAUAACAGUUAGAAAUGACUGCUAAUACCGGAUGAUGUCUUCGGACCAAAGAUUUAUCGCCCAAGGAUGAGCCCGCGUAGGAUUAGGUAGUUGGUGGGGUAAUGGCCCACCAAGCCGACGAUCCUUAGCUGGUCUGAGAGGAUGAUCAGCCACACUGGGACUGAGACACGGCCCAGACUCCUACGGGAGGCAGCAGUGGGGAAUAUUGGACAAUGGGCGAAAGCCUGAUCCAGCA